rnacentral:tRNA from 1 species
GGUAUUGUUCAAGCAGUAGAGCAUGUGCUUAGCAUGCACGAGGUCCUGGGUUCAAUCCCCAGUACC